rnacentral:rRNA from 1 species
CGGGAGGCAGCAGUGGGGAAUAUUGGACAAUGGGCGCAAGCCUGAUCCAGCCAUGCCGCGUGAGUGAUGAAGGCCCUAGGGUUGUAAAGCUCUUUCACCGGUGAAGAUAAUGACGGUAACCGGAGAAGAAGCCCCGGCUAACUUCGUGCCAGCAGCCGCGGU